GACUCUCGGCAACGGAUAUCUCGGCUCUCGCAUCGAUGAAGAACGUAGCAAAAUGCGAUACCUGGUGUGAAUUGCAGAAUCCUGCGAACCAUCGAGUUUUUGAACGCAAGUUGCGCCCGAGGCCUUCCGGCCGAGGGCACGUCUGCCUGGGCGUCA
rnacentral:rRNA from 1 species